rnacentral:snoRNA from 1 species
UGAGGAAGCAGAGGCACGUCGCCUGGCUGAGGAAGCACGCCGCCUGGCUGAGG